AAUCGGUAAUUACUGGGCGUAAAGCGAGCGCAGGCGGUUAGAUAAGUCUGAAGUUUAAAGGCUGUGGCUUAACCAUUAGUACGCUUUGGAAACUGUUUAAACUUAGAGUGCAGAAGGGGAGAGUGGAAUUCCAUGUGUAGCGGUGAAAUGCGUAGAUAUAUGGAGGAACACCGGUGGCGAAAGCGGCUCUCUGGUCUGUAACUGACGCUGAGGCUCGAAAGCGUGGGGAAGCAAACAGGAUUAGAUACCCUGGGUAGUCCACGCCGUAAACGAUGAGUGCUAGGUUGUUGGGUCCUUUUCCGGGGACUUCAGUGCCGCAGCUAACGCAUUAAG
rnacentral:rRNA from 1 species